AAUCCUGAUUGGCCUCCUUUCCAAAGA
rnacentral:piRNA from 1 species